CAGCGCCACGAGUGGCAACCGCGAUUAUUGGGCCUAAAGCGUCCGUAGCCGGUUUGGUAAAUCUUUUGUGAAAUUGUACAGCUCAACUGUACAGCGUGCAAGAGACACUGCCAAACUCGAGACCGGGAGGAGUCAGAAGUAUUCCAGGGGGAGCGGUAAAAUGUUAUAAUCCCUGGAGGACUACCUGUGGCGAAGGCGUCUGACCAGAACGGAUCUGACGGUGAGGGACGAAAGCCAGGGGAGCGAACCGGAUUAGAUACCCGCGUAGUCC
rnacentral:rRNA from 1 species